rnacentral:rRNA from 1 species
ACGGAAGGCAGCAGUAGGGAAUCUUCGGCAAUGGGGGCAACCCUGACCGAGCAACGCCGCGUUAGUGCCUACGUUUUUCUGAUCGUAAAGCUCUGUUGUAAGAGAAGAACGUGUGUGAGAGUGGAAAGUUCACACAGUGACGGUAACUUACCAGCAAGGGACGGCUAACUACGUGCCAGCAGCCGCGGUAAUCCGUAGGUCCCGAGCGUUGUCCGGAUUUAUUGGGCGUAAAGCGAGCGCAGGCGGUUUAAUAAGUCUGAAGUUAAAGGCAGUGGCUUAACCAUUGUUCGCUUUGGAAACUGUUAGACUUGAGUGCAGAAGGGGAGAGUGGAAUUCCAUGUGUAGCGAUGGAAUGCGUAGAUAUAUGGAGGAACACCGGUGGCGAAAGCGGCUCUCUGGUCUGUAACUGACGCUGAGGCUCGAAAGCGUGGGGAGCAAACAGGAUUAGAUACAGUGGUA